ACUAUAGUUGUUUUUUUUUUUUUUUUGGUCUUUACAUGGGAUGUUAAAAGGAUAAACUGUCUUAGUUAUCCCAGAGACCUUAUUCACAGUAUAAAUAUCUCGGUCUUAAAAUACAAGAUGGUAAUGCUGUGAAGGAACAGAUAGAAAAAGCAGAUAUUUGUAGUUGGCUCACUUUUUACCUUGGAAUUGUAUCUGAGUUUUGAUCUUCAGCUAAGUGACAAAUAAUUUAUUUACUUUGGUUUAAGUAAUUCAUGUGCACACAUUGUUCACAAAAGGUAUAGGAUUGACUGUUCUGGAGACUUAAGACUUCUGUUCAUAAAACAGGUAUCAUACAGACAGUGAAAAUGUCCCUCUAAGGUUCCUCAGUCUUGACUGAGACCCUCAGAAUUACUUCUGGGAGUGAGAGGGUAGUUUAAUUUCCAUGUCUGUUGGCUCUCUGGCUCCCAGCUGAGAGCGCCAUUUACAGUACAGACCCGUUUAUGCGCGGAUGUCGGGAGUCAAGCUGUCACGACUGCAUGUUAACAGAUUGCAGGUUAAGAGGACCAUGCUGAAAAAAGUGUCUAUGAUUCACUAAGAAAAAAAUGCCGUUAUUUUCUGCUCUUUCUGGCUCGCAUUUUUUUUCUUUCUUAUGAAGUCUGUCAUUUGCUGCAGAUGAAUGAUUUAGAUAUUUUCCACAUUUUGUGCCAUCAUAAAUCUUACAACAGUUUCUACAGCACUAAGAGCUUCUGUGGGCGAAAUUUUGACCUUUUCAACGACAUCCUCGCCAUCACUUUCGCGGUCUGAAGUAGCCUUGCAGCCCGUUAAUAUUUCUUCCUCGGACAGAAAUUCUGAAGUUGGGCAAUCUUCAUCCAUCUCCAGCCGCUUGGAAUUCAGAAAUGCCUGAAGACGUGCAUGACACAAUCGCCAAAAUCAGUUCCCAUUGAUAAUUGUUAUUAGAAUUCUGAAUAAUGCCCUGGUCUAAAGGUUGAAUUUUUGAUGUUGUGUUGAAUGGUAGGUAUAGCACUCAAAUUUUCCCAUCACUCGAUACCAGUGAUUUGGCUGGAGGAUGGGCUGGACAAUUGUCAAAUAGCAAAAGUGCUUUGGCUUCGAGUUUCUUCGACUGCAGAUGUUUACAAACAGCUGGAACAAAGCUGUUGUGGAACCAGUCAUCGAAAACGUGUCUUGUCAUCCAAGCAUUUUUGCUGUUAGCGUAUAUUACUGGCAGUUUGGCUCUGUUGAGGUGAUUAAAGCAUCAAGGGUUAUGAAAGCGGCCAACGAGAAGAGGGGCAAGCUUAUGGCUGCCCAUCUUAUUACUACAAAAAAGAAGAGUCACACGAUCUUUUAUCUUUUUAAAUCCAGCUGUUUUCUGUAUCUUGUAAUUAAAGGCUAAAGUCUUAUCAGGUAGCAGUUUUGCAAAUAAAGGUGUUUCAUCACAAUUACAAAGUUGUUCUUCAUGGUAGUCUUCAUUUUGUAAAAUAGAUUUUUAACUCAGCGGGAAAUGCGUUUGUGGCCGAUUCAUUGGCUGAUCGGCUUUCUCCAGAAAUCGAUACCUGCAUUAUGCCAUGAUGCUUUUUAAAACGAAUUAUAAAUCCCUUGCUGGCUUGGAAUGAUUCAUCCCCCGUUAAGUUUCCAAAUUUUGUCGCUUGGGCUUGAAGAAUUGGCCCACUUAGCGGCAUUCCUUUCAGCCUUUCCUGAGCAAACCACAUGCGCAUGGCUUUGUUUAUUGUGGGUUUUGCUGAAUAGCGCGCACGUUUUCGCUUAAGCCCCGUGGCAGAAUCGAUAUUUUGUACAAAGCCAUUCAGUUUAGAUUAUUUUUUUAGCCAUCCUCAGAGACUAGCUUUUCUUCUACAGUGUAGGAACACUGAUGCUUGCCCUCUGCCAUUAUAUUAGGCCUAUGGUUAAAAUUUUUUAAUGUAUGCAACAAAAAAUGACCUUUUUUGAAUGUUUUUAGUGUUGAGAGAAAUUUAGGAACCAAUCCCAUGGAAAAUUACUUCACUGACCCAUUAAUGGUAUAUUUCCUGAGUCAUACUAGGAAUUAAAACCCAGAAGAAAAUAGUUUCAUUCUCCUCUGGCAUUCUUGCCCCAUGUUUAAAUUCAUCUUAUAUGAAUAAAAUCUAUAUGGUGAUCUUUGGAUAAAUUUUGCUAAACAUUGCUCAAACA